rnacentral:rRNA from 1 species
GGGGAAUAUUGCACAAUGGGGGAAACCCUGAUGCAGCGACGCCGCGUGAAGGAAGAAGUAUUUCGGUAUGUAAACUUCUAUCAGCAGGGAAGAAAAUGACGGUACCUGACUAAGAAGCCCCGGCUAACUACGUGCCAGCAGCCGCGGUAAUACGUAGGGGGCAAGCGUUAUCCGGAUUUACUGGGUGUAAAGGGAGCGUAGACGGCAUGGCAAGUCUGGUGUGAAAGGCAGGGGCUCAACCCCUGGACUGCAUUGGAAACUGUCAGGCUGGAGUGCAGGAGAGGUAAGUGGAAUUCCUAGUGUAGCGGUGAAAUGCGUAGAUAUUAGGAGGAACACCAGUGGCGAAGGCGACUUACUGGACUGUAACUGACGUUGAGGCUCGAAAGCGUGGGGAGCAAAC